CCUACGGGUGGCAGCAGUGAGGAAUAUUGGUCAAUGGGCGAGAGCCUGAACCAGCGAAGUCGCGUGAAGGAUGAAGGAUCUAUGGGUUGUAAACUUCGUUUAUAGGGGACUAAAGUGCGGAACGUGAUGCUGUUUGUACGUCCCAUAUGAAUAAGCAUCGGCUAACUCCGUGCCAGCAGCCGCGGUAAUACGGAGGAUGCGAGCGUUAUCCGGAUUUAGUGGGUUGAAAGGGUGCGUAGGAGGUUAAUUAAGUCAGCGGUGAAAGAUUGGGGCUCAACCAUAAGAUUGCCGUUGAAACUGGUUGACUUGAGUAUAUUUGAGGUAGGCGGAAUGCGUGGUGUAGCGGUGAAAUGCAUAGAUAUCACGCAGAACUCCGAUUGCGAAGGCAGCUUACUAAACUAUAACUGACACUGAGGCACGAAAGCGUGGGGAUCAAACAGGAUUAGAUACCCCAGUAGUC
rnacentral:rRNA from 1 species